rnacentral:rRNA from 1 species
UACGUAGGGCGCAAGCGUUAUCCGGAAUUAUUGGGCGUAAAGAGCUCGUAGGCGGUUUGUCGCGUCUGCCGUGAAAGUCCGGGGCUCAACUCCGGAUCUGCGGUGGGUACGGGCAGACUAGAGUGAUGUAGGGGAGACUGGAAUUCCUGGUGUAGCGGUGAAAAUGCGCAGAUAUCAGGAGGAACACCGAUGGCGAAGGCAGGUCUCUGGGCAUUAACUGACGCUGAGGAGCGAAAGCAUGGGGAGCGAACAGGA